rnacentral:rRNA from 1 species
AUACGAAAGGUGCAAGCGUUGUUCGGAUUUACUGGGCGUAAAGAGAGUGUAGGUUGUUUAUUAAGUCGGAUGUGAAAUCCCGGGGCUCAACCCCGGAACUGCAUUCGAUACUGAUAGGCUAGAGUUCGGGAGGGGUAAGCGGAAUUCCGUGUGUAGCAGUGAAAUGCGUAGAUAUACGGAGGAACACCUGAGGCGAAGGCGGCUUACUGGACCGAUACUGACACUGAGACUCGAAAGCGUGGGUAGCAAACAGGAUUAGAUACCCGAGUAGUCC